rnacentral:rRNA from 1 species
ACAGCAGUCGCCACGGUAAUACGAGGGGGGCAAGCGUUGUUCGGAAUUAUUGGGCGUAAAGGGCGCGUAGGCGGUUUGGCAAGUUUCGUGUGAAAUCUUCGGGCUCAACUCGAAGUCUGCACGGAAAACUGCCGGGCUUGAGUAUGGGAGAGGUGAGUGGAAUUUCCGGUGUAGCGGUGAAAUGCGUAGAUAUCGGAAGGAACACCUGUGGCGAAAGCGGCUCACUGGACCAUAACUGACGCUGAGGCGCGAAAGCUAGGGGAGCAAACAGGAUUAGAUACCCGCGUAGUCCCUGUCUCUUAUAA